UACGUAGGGUGCGAGCGUUGUCCGGAAUUACUGGGCGUAAAGAGCUCGUAGGUGGUUUGUCGCGUUGUUCGUGAAAACCGGAGGCUCAACCUCUGGCGUGCGGGCGAUACGGGCAGACUUGAGUACUGCAGGGGAGACUGGAAUUCCUGGUGUAGCGGUGGAAUGCGCAGAUAUCAGGAGGAACACCAGCGGCGAAGGCGGCGCUCUGGGCUGGAACUGACGCUGAGGAGCGAAAGCGUGGGGAGCGAACAGG
rnacentral:rRNA from 1 species